rnacentral:rRNA from 1 species
GACGUAGGGUGCGAGCGUUGUCCGGAUUUAUUGGGCGUAAAGAGCUCGUAGGCGGCUCGUCGCGUCUGCCGUGAAAGUCCGGGGCUCAACUCCGGAUCUGCGGUGGGUACGGGCAGACUAGAGUGAUGUAGGGGGAGACUGGAAUUCCUGGUGUAGCGGUGGAAUGCGCAGAUAUCAGGAGGAACACCGGUGGCGAAGGCGGGUCUCUGGGCAGUAACUGACGCUGAGGAGCGAAAGCGUGGGGAGCGAACAGG